AGUGGCGGACGGGUGAGUAACACGUAAGAAUUUGCCUUUAGGAGGGGGACAACAACUGGAAACGGUUGCUAAUACCCCAUAUGCUUUCGAGUGAAAUGGAUUUUUCCGCCUAAGGAGAAGCUUGCGGCUGAUUAGCUUGUUGGUGAGGUAAUGGCUCACCAAGGCGACGAUCAGUAUCUGGUUUGAGAGGAUGAUCAGACACACUGGAACUGAGACACGGUCCAGACUCCUACGGGAGGCAGCAGUGGGGAAUUUUCCGCAAUGGGCGAAAGCCUGACGGAGCAGUCUCGCGUGAGGGAUGGCGGCCUAUGGGUUGUAAACCUCUUUUUUCCGGGAGGAACAAAAUGACGUGUACCUGAAGAAUAAGCAUCGGCUAACUCCGUGCCAGCAGCCGCGGUAAGACGGGGGAUGCAAGUGUUAUCCGGAAUCACUGGGCGUAAAGCGUCUGUAGGUGGUUAAGUAAGUCAACUUGUUAAAUCUUGAGGCUCAACCUCAAAAUCGCAGUCGAAACUGCUUGACUAGAGUACAGUAGGGGUAAAGGGAAUUUCCAGUGGAGCGGUGAAAUGCGUAGAUAUUGGAAAGAACACCGAUGGCGAAGGCACUUUACUGGGCUAUUACUAACACUGAGAGACGAAAGCUAGGGUAGCAAAUGGGAUUAGAUACCCCAGUAGUCCUAGCUGUAAACAAUGGAUACUAGAUG
rnacentral:rRNA from 1 species